AAGUGGGUGGGAGAGCGAGUGGGCGCUGGUGCCGCACUCCAGUUUCUGAGGCAGUGCCUCAAACGUUCGGGCGGACUGGCCUCCUGCAGGCUACCGCUGAACCCAGCCUUUGAAGGGAGACUGAGUCACAGCAGCCUCUGACAGCCCCUGCCGGCAAGAGCCCGGCUCAGAAGCCACUUGCUGGGCGGUGGGGGGCGGGCCAGGCUCCGGGGACUUUGAUCCUCAGCCUGGCUGGAGCAGAGCCAUGGAGGAAGUCAGCCGCCUGGAGUCCGCGGCAGCUGGGCAGGAGUGGCACCAACGCGAGUCUGGGCCUGCCUCGGGGGACUGCGGCCAGCCGCAGUGUGGCAGGGGACGGGAGGCCACCACCUUGCCUGCACCGCUUAGGCCUUCCAGAGAAGCAGCCAGGCCAGGAUAAGAUCGUGUUUUCUGGGACUAAAAAUCAGAAACCCCCAGGUCUGGGGACAGAGCUGUCUGGAGAGGAAGCUGACAACAACAGCCUUUCUGCUCAUUGCUGCCAGGGGGCACAGGGCUUGGCCCUAGCUGGGUGGUGGCCUGUCCUGGGGCAGGAACGUGUGUGCAGACUGGAGAGGGCUGAGAAGGCUCAGAGUCCUAGGAAAGGCGAAGACGUCGCUCCCAUCCCUUGCCUGCUUCCUGUCCACAAAUAUGUAGCUGAUGAAAGGGUGGGCUCCACUGUCUCCUCAGGAAGGACUCAGCCUCCACUGACACAGACACAGUGA
rnacentral:lncRNA from 1 species